AACAGGAUUAGAUACCCUGGUAGUCCACCCCGUAAACGUUGGGAACUAGUUGUGGGGACCAUUCCACGGUUUCCGUGACGCAGCUAACGCAUUAAGUUCCCCGCCUGGGGAGUACGGCCGCAAGGCUAAAACUCAAAGGAAUUGACGGGGACCCGCACAAGCGGCGGAGCAUGCGGAUUAAUUCGAUGCAACGCGAAGAACCUUACCAAGGCUUGACAUACACCAGAACGGGCCAGAAAUGGUCAACUCUUUGGACACUGGUGAACAGGUGGUGCAUGGUUGUCGUCAGCUCGUGUCGUGAGAUGUUGGGUUAAGUCCCGCAACGAGCGCAACCCUCGUUCUAUGUUGCCAGCACGUAAUGGUGGGAACUCAUGGGAUACUGCCGGGGUCAACUCGGAGGAAGGUGGGGAUGACGUCAAAUCAUCAUGCCCCUUAUGUCUUGGGCUUCACGCAUGCUACAAUGGCCGGUACAAAGGGCUGCAAUACCGUGAGGUGGAGCGAAUCCCAAAAAGCCGGUCCCAGUUCGGAUUGAGGUCUGCAACUCGACCUCAUGAAGUCGGAGUCGCUAGUAAUCGCAGAUCAGCAACGCUGCGGUGAAUACGUUCCCGGGUCUUGUACACACCGCCCGUCAAGUCAUGAAAGUCGGUAACACCUGAAGCCGGUGGCCCAACCCUUGUGGAGGGAGCCGUCGAAGGUGGGAUCGGUAAUUAGGACUAAGUCGUAACAAGGUAACC
rnacentral:rRNA from 1 species